GCAGUGGGGAGCUGUUGAGAGCAUUUUGAGUGGGGCAGUGACACUGCUGGCUCUGCAUUUUGGAAAGGUGGUUUUCAGAGCAGUUUGGAUGAUGCUGGGGAGUAGCUGACAGGUUGAAGAUCAGUCCUGAGGAGCAGAUUCAUAAUCCACUUAGGAAAAAGGAGGGGGGAUGCACGGAGUUAGCACAUAUUAAGUGCCUGCUGUAGUCAAGCCCUGUUGGACACCAGGGACAUCUGGACCUUGACAACGGAGCGAAGGGGUGGUCCUGCCUGCACCAGGUUUCAGUGGCUUCUCAGGCUUCUCUGCAGCAUGGGUGUUCCUGCCUUGGCCAGAGCCGAAAUCCCAGAGCAGUGAAAGAGGAGCCAGUGUCAUGGGGCUUCUGGUUUCAGGACACACUGGAAAGGCUGGUCCCUGAGUGCUCCAAGGACCCAUGCAUCUGACCAUAGGGGAUGCUGGGAGUAUCCUCCAUCCUGGCCUGAAAGAGCUCCCUUUCAGCUUCCUGGAUUCAUAUCUGUCUUUCUGAAAACUGACUUCCCAUAUUCCCAAAGCCAUCGCCAGCUCCCAGCUUUGUCAUUCAGGAAAAAGAGUAUGCACCUCCCCUUCAUCCUCCUCAUCUCUCACCAUCAUUAAGUACAAGCCCAAGGAGAAGAAUCAAGGGCAAUGAAUCUUCAUCAAACAAUAAAAUCCUGCCUGGGUCCAGCCACUUUGUCACAAGCUACAUCUAUGGCGAGCAACGACUCCCGGCUGCAGGGUGAGACAGAUAAGAGGAUAAGAGGGAGCAGGAGCAGACGGAGAAAGAAGGUGGCAAGACAGAGCAG
rnacentral:lncRNA from 10 species